GUUUGUUGAAGCUGUUGAAAGUCUUGGUGGAAAACACAAAGCAACACCCAAGCGCAUUCUGCAGACUAUGAGUGUGAAGGGACUGAAAAUUUCUCAUGUCAAAAGCCAUCUGCAGAUCCAAUAAACCAACAGAGAAAUGGUUAGGAUCGAUGCCGAAUUACGAAACAGAAUCAGAUAAGAAUACUUUUGAGUUUUGACCUAAUUUAGUGUAAGUUAGGGUGUGCAUAUUAUUAGCAUAUAUUCAAUUUCAUCCGUUAAUCUUUUAUUUUUCAUUCUUUAAUCAUAGCCUUUGAUUUCCUUUCUGGUUUUCUUUUUGUUUAUACUUUAGAACUUUGUCUUGUUUCGCCACGAAACAGAUAGACAUCAAUAUGAUCUAAGAGAGAUGAGAUAUGAUCAGAUCAAAUUGGCUUAUAAGGCCGUUGCCAUUAUUGAAAAGUAACAUGUGUACAUUAUUUUAAAAGAGUAGCUGGUGCUAAUUCAUUCUAAUUAUGCAUCAGCUUUUGCUAAUUAAUUAAAGCAGUCCUUUAUGAAACAAAAGCCGCAAAAACAGCUUUAUGGGACUUUUGGGAUAGUUCCACUUAUGUUAUAGUAAAUUUGUUUCCUAAACUGGUGGCUUACCCCCUAACCUGAUCCUCAUCAAAUUUACCUAAUCUUAAUUAAGCACGACGGAAAAUGCAGCCUAUCUACUUGCUAACCUAAUCCUCUCUUAAUUAUUAACCUAAUAACAAAGCUGGCUGCCCUUUAAGUUUACACAUCUAUACAUAAUUUAGGGUUUUGAAGACUUAAAAGUAUGAUCGAACGGCUCAUAGUGGUUUUAAAACGUAUUUCUCUUCAUUUCAUCACUCUAAUUUUUACCAUGUAAAUGAUAAUUAUACAGUCCCGAUCUCUUGGACUACAGGGGUCUAAGAGAUUUAUAGUCACUCACUGUUGGAUGUAAAUUCAACGGUUCACUCACUCUUAAGAAACUUUUUUGAACCAUUUGGAUUAAUAUCCAACGGUGAUUGACCAUAAUAUCUUGGACUCCUGGGGUCCAAGAGAUCGGAUUUCGAUAAUUAUAAACUGCAAAUAGUACAUAUACUGUACAUACCAAAAACAUGAUGUAUUUAAUACGUAGUCAGUCAGUCCUUCUGUGGUUUGAGUACUGAAGUAGAUUUCUGGAUUGAAUGUUAGAUGUACAGGGGCGUGAAUGAUAAUGCACAUUCUCAAGAUCAUAGCAGUAAUGUCUUCAUUUUCUCACCUCAAACUCAAACUCAAAGGCCAUCAGAAAAUUAUUAUUUAAGAUAUGAGCCGCAUGUAAUGUUUUCUGAAACGGAUGAGGAAACAAAAGGACGUAUAUUAACACGAGAGGAAGCUGCAGGCAAGCAACAAAAUCAGGUACUUCAAGCACAGAAGUAUCAUUUGCACCAAACCAGUUUUGAGAAGAAUGCUCAUACCCCAGAACUCAGCAGAUUGUCUAUGGAUGAAGAAACUUGUCAACUAUAUGGAUUUUCUGAGCUCUCAUUAUCGUUUAAUCCGACUGUUACUACCAUGGCGCAC